rnacentral:rRNA from 1 species
ACAUUGCAUGANGUUGACUUNAAAGGUGCAACUGCAUCACUAAGAGAUGGACCUGCGUUGUAUUAGCUAGUUGGUGAGGUAACGGCUCACCAAGGCGACGAUACAUAGCCGACCUGAGAGGGUGAUCGGCCACACUGGGACUGAGACACGGCCCAGACUCCUACGGGAGGCAGCAUG